UACGUAGGGGGCGAGCGUUGUCCGGAUUUAUUGGGCGUAAAGAGCUCGUAGGCGGUUCGAUAAGUCGGAUGUGAAAUCUCCACGCUCAACGUGGAGAGGCCAUUCGAUACUGUCGUGACUCGAGUCCGGUAGGGGAGUGUGGAAUUCCCGGUGUAGCGGUGAAAUGCGCAGAGAUCGGGAGGAACACCAGUGGCGAAGGCGACUACCUGGCCUGUUCUUGACGCUGAGGCGCGAAAGCUAGGGGAGCAAACGGG
rnacentral:rRNA from 1 species